rnacentral:rRNA from 1 species
GACGAACGCUGGCGGCGUGCUUAACACAUGCAAGUCGAGCGGUAAGGCCCUUUCGGGGUACGACGAGCGGCGAACGGGUGAGUAACACGUGGGUGACCUGCCCUCAGCUCUGGGAUAAGCCUGGGAAACCGGGUCUAAUACUGGAUAUGACUCCAUGACGCAUGUUGGUGGGGUGGAAAGCCUUGUGCGGCUGAGGAUGGGCCCGCGGCCUAUCAGCUUGUUGGUGGGGUGAGGCCUACCAAGGCGACGACGGGUAGCCGGCCUGAGAGGGCGACCGGCCACACUGGGACUGAGACACGGCCCAGACUCCUACGGGAGGCAGCAGUGGGGAAUUGUUCGCAAUGGGCGCAAGCCUGACGACGCAACGCCGCGUGGAGGAUGAAGACCUCGGUCGUAACGU